GACGAACGCUGGCGGCGUGCCUAAUACAUGCAAGUCGAACGGAACUCAUUGGAAUGAGACUUCGGUCGAAUGAUAGUGAGUUUAGUGGCGGACGGGUGAGUAACGCGUGAGCAACCUGCCUUUCAGAGGGGGACAACAGUUGGAAACGACUGCUAAUACCGCAUGAUGUAUUUCGAGGGCAUCCUUGAAAUACCAAAGAUUUUAUCGCUGAAAGAUGGGCUCGCGUCUGAUUAGUUAGUUGUGGGGUAACGGCCUACCAAGACUACGAUCAGUAGCCGGACUGAGAGGUUGAACGGCCACAUUGGGACUGAGAUACGGCCCAGACUCCUACGGGAGGCAGCAGUGGGGAAUAUUGGGCAAUGGGCGAAAGCCUGAUGCAGCGACGCCGCGUGAGUGAAG
rnacentral:rRNA from 1 species